AAGGAGGUGAUCCAGCCGCACCUUCCGAUACGGCUACCUUGUUACGACUUCACCCCAAUCAUUUGUCCCACCUUCGACGGCUAGCUCCAUAAAUGGUUACUCCACCGGCUUCGGGUGUUACAAACUCUCGUGGUGUGACGGGCGGUGUGUACAAGACCCGGGAACGUACUCACCGUAGCAUGCUGAUCUACGAUUACUAGCGAUUCCAGCUUCAUGUAGUCGAGUUGCAGACUACAAUCCGAACUGAGAACAACUUUAUGGGAUUUGCUUGACCUCGCGGUUUAGCUGCCCUUUGUAUUGUCCAUUGUAGCACGUGUGUAGCCCAAAUCAUAAGGGGCAUGAUGAUUUGACGUCAUCCCCACCUUCCUCCGGUUUGUCACCGGCAGUCAACUUAGAGUGCCCAACUUAAUGAUGGCAACUAAGCUUAAGGGUUGCGCUCGUUGCGGGACUUAACCCAACAUCUCACGACACGAGCUGACGACAACCAUGCACCACCUGUCACUUUGUCCCCCGAAGGGGAAAACUCUAUCUCUAGAGC
rnacentral:rRNA from 1 species